GCUUCGUUGGUGUAGUCGGUUAUCACGUCGGUCUCAUAUAUCAUCUCUAUAUAUGACUGUUCAAUUUGUAACAGAGUUAUCCGAAGGCCGCCAGUUCGAAUCUGGCACGGAGCA